UUAAGCGACUAAGCGUACACGGUGGAUGCCCUGGCAGUCAGAGGCGAUGAAGGACGUGCUAAUCUGCGAUAAGCGUCGGUAAGGUGAUAUGAACCGUUAUAACCGGCGAUUUCCGAAUGGGGAAACCCAGUGUGAUUCGUCACACUAUCAUUAACUGAAUCCAUAGGUUAAUGAGGCGAACCGGGGGAACUGAAACAUCUAAGUACCCCGAGGAAAAGAAAUCAACCGAGAUUCCCCCAGUAGCGGCGAGCGAACGGGGAGCAGCCCAGAGCCUGAAUCAGUGUGUGUGUUAGUGGAAGCGUCUGGAAAGGCGCGCGAUACAGGGUGACAGCCCCGUACACAAAAAUGCACAUACUGUGAGCUCGAUGAGUAGGGCGGGACACGUGGUAUCCUGUCUGAAUAUGGGGGGACCAUCCUCCAAGGCUAAAUACUCCUGACUGACCGAUAGUGAACCAGUACCGUGAGGGAAAGGCGAAAAGAACCCCGGCGAGGGGAGUGAAAAAGAACCUGAAACCGUGUACGUACAAGCAGUGGGAGCACAGAGCAAUCUGUGUGACUGCGUACCUUUUGUAUAAUGGGUCAGCGACUUAUAUUCCGUAGCAAGGUUAACCGAAUAGGGGAGCCGAAGGGAAACCGAGUCUUAACUGGGCGUUAAGUUGCAGGGUAUAGACCCGAAACCCGGUGAUCUAGCCAUGGGCAGGUUGAAGGUUGGGUAACACUAACUGGAGGACCGAACCGACUAAUGUUGAAAAAUUAGCGGAUGACUUGUGGCUGGGGGUGAAAGGCCAAUCAAACCGGGAGAUAGCUGGUUCUCCCCGAAAGCUAUUUAGGUAGCGCCUCGUGAAUUCAUCUCCGGGGGUAGAGCACUGUUUCGGCAAGGGGGUCAUCCCGACUUACCAACCCGAUGCAAACUGCGAAUACCGGAGAAUGUUAUCACGGGAGACACACGGCGGGUGCUAACGUCCGUCGUGAAGAGGGAAACAACCCAGACCGCCAGCUAAGGUCCCAAAGUCAUGGUUAAGUGGGAAACGAUGUGGGAAGGCCCAGACAGCCAGGAUGUUGGCUUAGAAGCAGCCAUCAUUUAAAGAAAGCGUAAUAGCUCACUGGUCGAGUCGGCCUGCGCGGAAGAUGUAACGGGGCUAAACCAUGCACCGAAGCUGCGGCAGCGACGCUUAUGCGUUGUUGGGUAGGGGAGCGUUCUGUAAGCCUGCGAAGGUGUGCUGUGAGGCAUGCUGGAGGUAUCAGAAGUGCGAAUGCUGACAUAAGUAACGAUAAAGCGGGUGAAAAGCCCGCUCGCCGGAAGACCAAGGGUUCCUGUCCAACGUUAAUCGGGGCAGGGUGAGUCGACCCCUAAGGCGAGGCCGAAAGGCGUAGUCGAUGGGAAACAGGUUAAUAUUCCUGUACUUGGUGUUACUGCGAAGGGGGGACGGAGAAGGCUAUGUUGGCCGGGCGACGGUUGUCCCGGUUUAAGCGUGUAGGCUGGUUUUCCAGGCAAAUCCGGAAAAUCAAGGCUGAGGCGUGAUGACGAGGCACUACGGUGCUGAAGCAACAAAUGCCCUGCUUCCAGGAAAAGCCUCUAAGCAUCAGGUAACAUCAAAUCGUACCCCAAACCGACACAGGUGGUCAGGUAGAGAAUAACCAAGGCGCUUGAGAGAACUCGGGUGAAGGAACUAGGCAAAAUGGUGCCGUAACUUCGGGAGAAGGCACGCUGAUAUGUAGGUGAAGUCCCUCGCGGAUGGAGCUGAAAUCAGUCGAAGAUACCAGCUGGCUGCAACUGUUUAUUAAAAACACAGCACUGUGCAAACACGAAAGUGGACGUAUACGGUGUGACGCCUGCCCGGUGCCGGAAGGUUAAUUGAUGGGGUUAGCGCAAGCGAAGCUCUUGAUCGAAGCCCCGGUAAACGGCGGCCGUAACUAUAACGGUCCUAAGGUAGCGAAAUUCCUUGUCGGGUAAGUUCCGACCUGCACGAAUGGCGUAAUGAUGGCCAGGCUGUCUCCACCCGAGACUCAGUGAAAUUGAACUCGCUGUGAAGAUGCAGUGUACCCGCGGCAAGACGGAAAGACCCCGUGAACCUUUACUAUAGCUUGACACUGAACAUUGAGCCUUGAUGUGUAGGAUAGGUGGGAGGCUUUGAAGUGUGGACGCCAGUCUGCAUGGAGCCGACCUUGAAAUACCACCCUUUAAUGUUUGAUGUUCUAACGUGGACCCGUAAUCCGGGUUGCGGACAGUGUCUGGUGGGUAGUUUGACUGGGGCGGUCUCCUCCUAAAGAGUAACGGAGGAGCACGAAGGUUGGCUAAUCCUGGUCGGACAUCAGGAGGUUAGUGCAAUGGCAUAAGCCAGCUUGACUGCGAGCGUGACGGCGCGAGCAGGUGCGAAAGCAGGUCAUAGUGAUCCGGUGGUUCUGAAUGGAAGGGCCAUCGCUCAACGGAUAAAAGGUACUCCGGGGAUAACAGGCUGAUACCGCCCAAGAGUUCAUAUCGACGGCGGUGUUUGGCACCUCGAUGUCGGCUCAUCACAUCCUGGGGCUGAAGUAGGUCCCAAGGGUAUGGCUGUUCGCCAUUUAAAGUGGUACGCGAGCUGGGUUUAGAACGUCGUGAGACAGUUCGGUCCCUAUCUGCCGUGGGCGCUGGAGAACUGAGGGGGGCUGCUCCUAGUACGAGAGGACCGGAGUGGACGCAUCACUGGUGUUCGGGUUGUCAUGCCAAUGGCACUGCCCGGUAGCUAAAUGCGGAAGAGAUAAGUGCUGAAAGCAUCUAAGCACGAAACUUGCCCCGAGAUGAGUUCUCCCUGACUCCUUGAGAGUCCUGAAGGAACGUUGAAGACGACGACGUUGAUAGGCCGGGUGUGUAAGCGCAGCGAUGCGUUGAGCUAACCGGUACUAAUGAACCGUGAGGCUUAACCUU
rnacentral:rRNA from 1 species